AUACGAGUCAGGCACGGUUAAAUUCGAAUCAAAUUAGCCAAUUGAAUCAAUAAAUUAGUUCUCAAAUCCAUUUGAAUUUGAUAAAGAAACGAUCCAGUAUGAUCCGAUAUGACUCGUGAUUCAAUAUGACCGAUUAACCAAACUAAUUCAAUUAGUAAAAGAGAAGAGAAGGGGGAGGGAGAGGGGGAUGGAUCUGAAUCGGAAAGAAAGAUAAAAGUUUAAAUUGUCAACCUUGCAAGCAAUCUCCCAUGCUAUACUUGCCCUAAUUUUUACCAAGAACUAGGAUCCAAGACUGACACUGAUGAAUUACAACCCCAAAAUGACCGAAAUAGAAAUCAAAGCCAUCCACCGGUUCCAAAACAAUUUGAUAAACCGGGUAAGUAUACCAACAAUCCCAAACCUGUGGGAAAAAUAGCAUCCACUAAACACUCAAAACCAAAAGACUAUGAUGAUAGAAACCUCCAUCAGAACGGAAUAAGGAAACCAAGUCUAUGCUGAUAGCAAACUGCAUCAAAACGGACUAAGAUCCUUUCAUGUCUAUGCUGAUGAUGCUGGUUCAUCUUCUUUUUUUGCCUCUGCUUUUGCUUUUUCACCUUCAGCUUCACUGCGCUCCUUCGCUUCAACAGGUGCCUCUUCCUUUUCUUUCCCCUCGGUUUUACCAUCCACAACGCUCAACUUCUCAAGUAAUCCAGCAGCAUCUGCAGCCUCUUUACUUUCUUCUUUUUUACCUUGAGUUUCAGCCACCUCUUGGACCGUCUCCAUGAAGGUUUUGCAAUUCUCAACAGAAGCAAAUCUGAUACAGAAGAGCUCAUCCUUCAAUUCCCCAUCAGCAAAAUCAGCAGCAUGCCACACACAUGAUUUAUCAUUUCCAUGAUGCUCUUGGACAUUGAUUGAAGGCCCAACUAGAUGAUUAGCGCAGAUCUUGAGAGUCUUAGAUUGGCGCAUGACAAGGCGAACCUUGCCAGAUUCCUUGUGCUUCAGCAGCUUCACAUUUCCAACUCCUCUCUCCUUCCACUGAUUCCCUUCCUUAUCAAAUCUAUACAGCUUCGCUUUCAGAUCGAGGAUGGGAUCUUCCUCCUCCUCGCCGGUAGUAACAGCGACCUCUUCUAGCUUGACGAUGGGGGCAACCUGAGCUCCGGUGUCCUCAUCAUCGGCGGCUGGUGCGUUCGCUUCCUCGUCUCUGUCUUUGGUAUUGUGCUCUGGAUCGCUCGUAGUAGCAGUACUCGCCAUCCCUCGCUUUAUAUACCUUUCUCGCCGAAACUUGAAGAGAGAGAGAACUGAGACUGGGAGACUGGGAGGGUUAGGGAUUUUAUUGCUCAGAUAGCAACACUUAUUAACAAUGAUAAAGAAAAAGGCAGUGCUGCGUAGAUGGUGGACCCAACAUGCACAGAGCGUGACAG
rnacentral:misc_RNA from 1 species